CCGAACACCUGCGGCACCCCACGCUGACAAGCUGGAACCCCCGCGGCGGUCUGGGCGCACCCACCCGGAUGCAUAAAAGCCGUAGCCACUUCCGGCCCAGUGGCUGGCCAGGAGGAUACAACCCCCGUCAGGUUCUCGGUUAAAGGAUGGGGAAGGAGGGUUAUAAUUGCGAAGACUUAAUGUCUUCAGAAAAGUGGUGUUUUCUGAGAUGCCGCUUCGUCUUUUGGUUUUGGCUUUGAAGGAAGAAGCCUAUUGAACUUUCGCUCACAAAUGCAACACAGGACAUUUUUUCUCUUUUACCCAGGAUGCCAGAAGAGGGCGUUGAGCCCCUGGAAAAGAUUUAUAGAGCCGGCGUGGAUUUCUGAGUUCGAGGCCAGCCUGGUCUACAGGGAAAUCACUAAGGGAUUGAGGUGAAGAUGACAAGGAGACAAGAAACUCUAAGACUUUAUACAAGUAGAUUCUUUGGAGGAGUUGAAAUAGAUAAAGAACUCCAAAUCCAGCUUUGCAAGAAGGCAACACAAGGCUACUUCUGGAUCUGCUGGAGCUGGAGGGCAAAGAGUGGCCAGAUGACAUGUAGCCACAGACAUGUAGACCACAGAAGAAAUAUCACCACAGGAGAGUUAAAGGACUGAACUGCUGCGUAAGAAGAUGGAGCUUCCCCCAAAGAACUAUUGUUGAACAGAAAACAUUGCAGACUUGGCUAUGCAUGUAGAGUUUGUGACUAGAAGUCGAGGUGCUUAGAAAGCAAAAAGAACCAGGGGGAGAACAACAGAGUUCAAGCUUGGAAAUCAGACAUGACAAAGGGAGACCUCCUGAAGACUUUGGCAACAGAGAAGAAAAGGGAGACUAAUCAACAAAAUAGUUUUGUAUACUGUAGGAUGAAAGAAGAUAAAGACAGCCCUGAAGAGAUUCACACUCCGGGAUGCUGAGAUUCUGGAACCAUCCAUUCCAGCUUAGUGCUACCUCAAUGACAUCGAAGCUGCUGCUUUCAGAGACUUGCUUCCAG
rnacentral:lncRNA from 1 species